rnacentral:rRNA from 1 species
UCAAGAGUACGUGAAACCGUUCAGGGGUAAACCUGAGAAACCCAAAAGAUCGAAUGGGGAGAUUCAUCGGCAGCGGCUCUGGCUUCCGUGCGGCGCGCGAUGACGGGGACCUGGUCUCGCGUCACGCCGCGCUGCGGUAUGUCCGGGGUCGUCGGCGUGCACUUCUCCCCUAGUAGGACGUCGCGACCCGUUGGGUGUCGUCGAUGGCCGGCCGGUCGUCUGUUGUGCGCCGCUCUUCAGACCGGUGUCGAAAGUCCGGCUGCCCGGCGGUAUUGAAUUUUAUUCGGUAUCGGGCCGCAUGAAUGCGUUAGGCUCGUCGGCAGGCUCGUCUCGCUCGGAUACGGACCUAGCGCCGUUGCCGGGCGCUUGGCGCGGCCUUAGUCGACGAUGUCCUCGGACUGGCUCUUACCCGUCGGCGACGCUACUGCUUUGGGUACUUUCAGGACCCGUCUUGAAACACGGACCAAGGAGUCUAACAUGUGCGCGAGUCAUUGGGACUGAAGCCUAAAGGCGCAAUGAAAGUGAAGGUCUGCCUUGUGACCGAGGGAGGA